rnacentral:rRNA from 1 species
UGGUGGAGUGAUUUGUCUGGUUAAUUCCGUUAACGAACGAGACCUCGACCUGCUAAAUAGUUCGACGAACCCCUCGGGGUUCGCACGUAACUUCUUAGAGGGACUAUCGGUGUCUAGCCGAUGGAAGUUCGAGGCAAUAACA